AUUGAACGCUGGCGGCAGGCCUAACACAUGCAAGUCGAGCGGAUGAAGGGAGCUUGCUCCUGGAUUCAGCGGCGGACGGGUGAGUAAUGCCUAGGAAUCUGCCUGGUAGUGGGGGAUAACGUCCGGAAACGGGCGCUAAUACCGCAAACGUCCUGAGGGAGAAAGUGGGGGAUCUUCGGACCUCACGCUAUCAGAUGAGCCUAGGUCGGAUUAGCUAGUUGGUGGGGUAAAGGCCUACCAAGGCGACGAUCCGUAACUGGUCUGAGAGGAUGAUCAGUCACACUGGAACUGAGACACGGUCCAGACUCCUACGGGAGGCAGCAGUGGGGAAUAUUGGACAAUGGGCGAAAGCCUGAUCCAGCCAUGCCGCGUGUGUGAAGAAGGUCUUCGGAUUGUAAAGCACUUUAAGUUGGGAGGAAGGGCAGUAAGUUAAUACCUUGCUGUUUUGACGUUACCAACAGAAUAAGCACCGGCUAACUUCGUG
rnacentral:rRNA from 1 species